GACGAACGCUGGCGGCGUGCUUAACACAUGCAAGUCGAACGGAAAGGCCCUGCUUUUGUGGGGUGCUCGAGUGGCGAACGGGUGAGUAACACGUGAGUAACCUGCCCUUGACUUUGGGAUAACUUCAGGAAACUGGGGCUAAUACCGGAUAGGAGCUCCUGCUGCAUGGUGGGGGUUGGAAGGUUUCGGCGGUUGGGGAUGGACUCGCGGCUUAUCAGCUUGUUGGUGGGGUAGUGGCUUACCAAGGCUUUGACGGGUAGCCGGCCUGAGAGGGUGACCGGCCACAUUGGUACUGAGAUACGGCCCAGACUCCUACGGGAGGCAGCAGUGGGGAGUAUUGCACAAUGGGCGGAAGCCUGAUACAGCAACGCCGCGUGCGUGAUGACGGCCUUCGGGUUAUAAACCGCUUUCGCCUGUGACGAAGCGUGAGUGACGGUAAUGGGUAAAAAAGCACCGGCUAACUACGUG
rnacentral:rRNA from 1 species